UUAUUAAUUUUAACAAUAACGUUACAAAUAACGCGAACUGGUCUAUUCCUAGACUUUCGUAGAGAGUACUGUGUGAUCGUGCAUUAGCAAUAGCAGAUAACUGUUGAAUUCAUGGUUUUACGAUAAAUGACCGUUGAUACCUAAUAAAUGUCUGAACCUACAAUAACGGCUAUGCUCCCGGUGGUUUAGGUUUAAUACCGUGUAGAGAUAGGUAAGUAUGUAUUACUGUUUAUUGUCGCACUUGUAACGAAAAAUUAGUUCGGAG